AAGUGAGGGAAAACGUACCAGUACAAACGAAAAAAUUAUUGACAUCUGACAGAAUUUGAUGAAGCGUUGAAACAGUGCAGCCGCUAAUGUCAACUAAUGUGGCGUUAAAAAUAAAAAUUCCAAUAUUAGUGUAAUCCUUUCCACAAAACUGAAAAAGGCGGCACAAAAUGUCACCAAAAUCAUGGCCUUCUUCGACUACAAUAUUUUAUAAUGACCCUGUAUGUCCUGUCUGAUACCUUGGACCAAUUUUAUCUAGUUUGAUUAAAAUUAAAAUUUGAGUCUACAUUAUUUUUGGUAAUACAGUGUUUUUCUUUAUUUGUCGAAUAUGUUUCACUAUUUGAAACAUUUUUCCCGUAUUUGCCUUUUUGAUAUCAUAUGCCCAAAGUAAUUCUCUUUGUCAAAAUUCUUUCAAUUUAUCGCAAGGCCCAAGCGUAAGUAAUUUAUUUUAACAAAUAUGUCAAUCUAUAAUCAUGAAAUACCUAUAACAAAUUAUUUAAGUUCAAAAUUUCAUUUCUGUUGAGGCAAUCCCUACAAAUUAUUGCCUCAAAAGCAUUGUGUACUUGGAUAUUGGAUAUUUAAUUCGUCUUCGCUUCUAGGAUGGCUUCUUUUAAUAAUCACUUUCCACUGAUUAAACAGUUUCCCAAUUAGGUUUAAUCUGUAGAUUUCAAAGGGGGCUGCACACGUCAUUACGACUCUUCGACCAAGUUUUCAGCUACUGGGUUAAGAAAAGUCCUAAAUCGAGGUAGAAAUACAGGAAAAACUCCAUGGGUUUGUAUCAAUUGUUGAAUUUAUUCAGUUCUGUGAAAUCUUACAUUGUUCAUUAAAAUAUGUCCGUGCGCCCCUAAUAUUAUCUUCUUGUAAGUGAUUCAAUAAGGUUUUAAAAAAUCGCAAUCGACUAAUUACGACCUGUCAGCUGACCUUUAACUUUGUUUGCGCUACAGUUACUUGGUGAUCUUCCGUAAGAGUUAAACACAGUCUUCAUCAACCCAAUUGCAUAUUUGUUUUUUCUGUUAUUCAGUUAACUUUUUCGGGCGCUGCCCAGCACUUCUUUCUUCAUUUGAUUAGUCGAGUAAAUUUUUCUAACAGUGUUUAGUAGGAUUUUAAAGUGCUGUCCACAUUGGCUGAAGUCGACGAAAUUGUUUUGCCAAAAAAAAAGAAACUGUUUUGACACAAGGUAAAAUAAUCUGAGAAACAUAGCGCACCAUUUAAUAACAGGAAAUAGAUUUGAGAAUUAGUGGAACACAAUUAACGAAAGACGAAAAUCAAAAGAAGUACACUAUUUUAUGAUGUAUAUCUUUGUAUACAUACCUACCUAUAUCUUUCAUCUGUCUUCAGAUAUUCUGAAGUUUUGUAUUGUGUUUAUUAAUUUCUUUAUUUAUCUAUUCUUAUAUUUAAACAUAUUUCUGAGAUUCACGCAAUUUUUAAAUCUAUGGAAAAUAUAACCACAAGCCAAAUAAGUCACCUUCUUUUAUGGUCACAUAUUUCACUUGAAUAAACUAAUUUGACAUGACGAUUUCUUUUAUGAAUAUUUUCUUUGUAGUUUUUUGUGAAGUAUCAUUUUCGGACUUUUAACUUUCACCAAAUUUAUUUUCUUCCAAUUUUGAACUUUCGAUAAAUUAUUUUGACAGUGUCCCAAAUUUUAAUUAGUUGACGACCACAAUUUUUUACCAAAACUUUUCAACUAUAUUUUCGGCCAAACUCAGCUAAGCUCCAACUUUUACUAUUACUUAGUACAAAUGUUUUUCGUGAGGCCUUCACAACAAUACGAAGAGAACUGCAGCAAAAACUAGCGUACGUCCUACUAUCCAAUUUGAAAAAUGCAAACAAAACACAUAAACUAAAUACAUGUGUUUACAUAACUUUUAUAAAAAUUGGAACCAAAACUUCUGUUAAUCGUCAAGAACUAAUAUUGGAACGAUGUUUUGAAAAAUACUUCCGCUUCAAAAAUAGACAUUUCCUGCCUACCAGAACAGCGAAUUUAAAAACAGCAACUGGUGUUGUAAUUUCGUUUCACCACAAAA